CAUCUUGACACAUUGAUAAAUGGCAAAAAGUAUCGAAAAUACAAAAUACAAUAACUUAAGCGCUUUUAUUAAAUUACGCAUCGGUUGCACCUUGCAAAUGUCCAAUAAAUUAGGCGCUCUCUGUCAAGGUUAAGCCAUGUGCGUUACAUCUUUGCAGACCAAAAAUAGCUUUGCAGACUGUGUGAUAAGGGCAAAGUUCUUUUUGGCUACCCUUCGGCGCCCUAGAAAACGUUUGAAGGGCUUCGCUAAUUCUUUUGUGUCGUUGUGAAAACUUACGCUACGCUUUUUCUGUUUGCUGCUGUUUGUUUUUAAUUAAAUGCAAACAAACUUUCACACACUUUCUUUCACUUGGCCAGUGUCAAGGCCUUAGCAUACUUUUGUUGUUCCAAUCUAUAUUUAUCUAUUAUAUAUGAUUAUGCAAAUGUUUGUAUUUUAAAAUAGAUAUUUUUUCC